CAAGCGGCAAGGUCUGCUGCGCGCAACUGAAAAUGCCAUAAACUCGCGAUAGCAGUUUCACGCUGAAGGCGGCAAGUAAAACUAACUACGCAAGAUAAGGAGCCUCACGGAGGUGGAACUGCGAGUACCGGAUCUGCGAGUUCCAGUGGGUAUGGCUGUGCUGUCGCUCAUCGUGACGUCAUCCUCGGCUGCACCCUGUGGCUUGCUGAUUGAUCUUGGCUCGGCGGCUGAACUUCUUGGAAUUUCCUAUGCAGACAGCUUCUGCACAUCCAGCUGUGGUUUCCCGCUCACGGAGUGGCUCGUCCACAGCCGUCCAGUGUCAUCGACAAUGCCAUCAUUACCCGCACUGGGUUUAAGAAGCCGACGUGCCUGCUUUCCCUUCAAUGGGCAUGGGAGAAGUGACAACGGCAUGGUUCCAAUGCUUCGUUUUUCUCACCAUGCAGUGCUCCAAGCCAGAUGGUGACAUACUCGUGUCCCUACACCUACGUACUCGUGUCCGCAGUGUGACGUCGCUCGUGGUGACACGUGACUUCAAGAAUUAUUCAAGGCAACAUCUGUUAUUUGUGUGAUCUGUUGCUUUAACUGCAAAUUGAAGUUCAGAGAAAUAAUAAAAUGCACAAACAGAAU